rnacentral:rRNA from 1 species
UUGACCUCGGAUCAGGUAGGAAUACCCGCUGAACUUAAGCAUAUCAAUAAGCGGAGGAAAAGAAACCAACAGGGAUUGCCCCAGUAACGGCGAGUGAAGCGGCAACAGCUCAAAUUUGAAAUCUGGUCCCUAGGGCCCGAGUUGUAAUUUGUAGAGGAUGCUUUUGGUGAGGUGCCGCCCGAGUUCCCUGGAACGGGACGCCACAGAGGGUGAGAGCCCCGUCUGGCUGGCCGCCGAGCCUCUGUAAAGCUCCUUCGACGAGUCGAGUAGUUUGGGAAUGCUGCUCAAAAUGGGAGGUAUAUGUCUUCUAAAGCUAAAUAUUGGCCAGAGACCGAUAGCGCACAAGUAGAGUGAUCGAAAGAUGAAAAGCACCUUGAAAAGAGGGUUAAAUAGUACGUGAAAUUGUUGAAAGGGAAGCGCUUGUGACCAGACUUGGGCGCGGCGGAUCAUCCGGGGUUCUCUCCGGUGCACUUCGCCGCGUCUAGGCCAGCAUCAGUUCGUCGCGGGGGAAAAAGGCUUCGGGAACGUGGCUCCUCCGGGAGUGUUAUAGCCCGUUGCAUAAUACCCUGCGGUGGAC